UUAUGCUAACAAACUAUUAAUGUCGGGGAAGUAAAAUUAGACAACCAGAAAAUUCAGUAUUCUUUGGUUUUACUACCCCGACAUUAAUUGGUAGAGAUGGAUUGGUGAUGUUUGUGAAUGACGGUGAAACCAAAGUCGGCAUGCAUCACUUAGGUCUUCUUUAGAGUCGGAGGAAAAAUGAAGAUUCUUUAGCUGUGCAGAGAAAAGAGUGCUUCUGACACAGGAAAAAUUGGAGUGCUUCUUCUUCAAUCCAAUUUCUAGCCAGUUGCUUGGUGGUCUGCUGUCUUCAAUCACAAGAGGUGUUUCACUUGUUAUAUUUGUGUAUUGAAUAAUUAUUUCAACUGAUA
rnacentral:sRNA from 1 species